rnacentral:lncRNA from 1 species
UAUGCUGCAUGAAGCAUGGAAGAUAAUGAAGGGUAUAAAGUAUGUCUUCUGUCAGAUGUAGCCUUCGCUUGAUGUUCAUUAUCUUCUGCUGGUAGAUUGGAAUCUGGUAAAUCUCACAUUGCCUUUUGGCUUCUUUGCCAUCCAGACCAUAUCAGUCCUGCUGCUAUGGCUUUGGUUUAAUGUGCCAAUUAAGAGUUGUUGUGCAUUCUCAUGUUUCUUAACAAGAAUCAUACAAAUUUAAAUUUUUAUUACUUAAUUAGCAUGCCCUUAUAGCUCCAGACCCUGUUACGUAAUGGUUAUCUAUUGUAUAAUUGGUCUGCCUUGCAGAUGAUGGUCUUUCUUAUCAAGAACUGGAAUUGCUAUGUCCCAGGUCAAAAUUCUAUGCUGUGAUGCCAAGUUAGAUGUAGUUGGUAACGGCGUCAUAAUGUCAAUUUUUAGUCAUCCUGCAAUAACCUGAGCUGCAACGUCAUAUAACUUUUACUUCAACGUCAUAUAACUUUUACUUCCUUUAACACAACUGUCCAGAUCCUACAAUUUAGUUCAUCAUCACCCUCUAAUGUAUGUGUCAACUGUUACUUAAAUGUAAUCUAGAUACUGGAUAAUUUGUUCGUACACCACAGACAGAUUGGUUGGGCAUUUCCAGUAAAUAAAGGGUAUACUCACAGUACUACCAUUUAUAAACAAUCUUUUACCUUCGUAUGUCUGCUUAUUAUUUCUUGUUUCUUACAAGUCUCAAUGGAAAGGUCAGAAAAGAUAGUCUUAUUAAUUCACUUCUGUUUCUUGCAAAUAGCCGUGGUAUUAGCUGUAGUAGUCUGACGUUAAUCGCCUUUAUUUUUAGUAAAGUGUCUCAAUUCUAGCCAUCUCAAGCUAGAUAUUUUCCUGGGACAGUAAUUCUAGUCAUAGGGACAGGUUGUAGUUUGUUCAUAUACUUUUGCCCCUGUGGUAGCUCAAGCACCUUCUUCACUAAUGAAUUUUGCUUCUGUGUGCUUUCAGUUGAAGUGAGAAAGCUUGUAGGCAUGUCGUUGAAAAUCACUAUCGGGCUUCUGAUGGUGUAGUUCCCAUCUGUCCACACCAGUGAGCCUGAAACAAUUGGCACUUGCACCAUUGGCGGUCCAACAAUAUUCAACGUAAAUGAUUUCUUCUCUCCAACUUCAGUAAAUGUUAACACUUCAGGUUCAACAGUCACAUUAAAGGAUGGUGGCAAAAAGGCUUCAUAACUGUAAGUAGAAUUUGGACAUCCCACAUUGGUAACAGUCCUUGUGUAUGAGGCACUCACUUCUUCUCCAUCUAAUAAAGAGAGAGCGAAAGAUGGGUAAUUCAAGUCCCAUGUUUUGCCAGGUGUUGAGCAAUUGCUAGAAUCACCAGAGAUGAGUCUUACUAGACUGGUGUUGUA